rnacentral:rRNA from 1 species
GACGAACGCUGGCGGCGUGCUUAACACAUGCAAGUCGAACGGAAAGGCCCUGCUUUUGUGGGGUGCUCGAGUGGCGAACGGGUGAGUAACACGUGAGUAACCUGCCCUUGACUUUGGGAUAACUUCAGGAAACUGGGGCUAAUACCGGAUAGGAGCUCCUGCUGCAUGGUGGGGGUUGGAAAGUUUCGGCGGUUGGGGAUGGACUAGCGGCUUAUCAGCUUGUUGGUGGGGUGGUGGCUUACCAAGGCUUUGACGGGUAGCCGGCCUGAGAGGGUGACCGGCCACAUUGGGACUGAGAUACGGCCCAGACUCCUACGGGAGGCAGCAGUGGGGAAUAUUGCACAAGGGGCGGAAGCCUGAUGCAGCAACGCCGCGUGCGGGAUGACGGCCUUCGGGUUGUAAACCGCUUUCGCCUGUGACGAAGCGUGAGUGACGGUAAUGGGUAAAGAAGCACCGGCUAACUACGUG